rnacentral:rRNA from 1 species
ACGGAAGGCAGCAGUGGGGAAUAUUGCACAAUGGGGGAAACCCUGAUGCAGCAACGCCGCGUGAGUGAUGACGGCCUUCGGGUUGUAAAGCUCUGUCUUCAGGGACGAUAAUGACGGUACCUGAGGAGGAAGCCACGGCUAACUACGUGCCAGCAGCCGCGGUAAUACGUAGGUGGCGAGCGUUGUCCGGAUUUACUGGGCGUAAAGGGAGCGUAGGCGGACUUUUAAGUGAGAUGUGAAAUACCCGGGCUCAACUUGGGUGCUGCAUUUCAAACUGGAAGGCUAGAGUGCAGGAGAGGAGAAUGGAAUUCCUAGUGUAGCGGUGAAAUGCGUAGAGAUAGGAAGAACACCAGUGGCGAAGGCGAUUCUCUGGACUGUAACUGACGCUGAGGCUCGAAAGCGUGGGGAGCAAACAGGAUUAGAUACCCUGGUA